rnacentral:rRNA from 1 species
AACGAACGCUGGCGGCAGGCUUAACACAUGCAAGCCGAACGGGUGCAGCAAUGCAUCAGUGGCAGACGGGUGAGUAACACGUGGGAACCUUCCUCGGGGUACGGAACAACUCAGGGAAACUUGAGCUAAUACCGUAUACGUCCGUGAGGAGAAAGAUUUAUCGCCCUGAGACGGGCCCGCGUCGGAUCAGCUAGUUGGUGGGGUAACGGCCUACCAAGGCGACGAUCCGUAGCUGAUCUUAGAGGAUGAUCAGCCACACGGGGACUGAGACACGGCCCAGACUCCUACGGGAGGCAGCAGUGGGGAAUCUUGGACAAUGGGCGCAAGCCUGAUCCAGCCAUGCCGCGUGAGUGAAGAAGGUCUUCGGGUUGUAAAGCUCUUUUGCCAGGGACGAUAAUGACGGUACCUGGAGAAUAAGCCCCGGCAAGCUUCGUGCCAGCCGCCGCGGUAACAC